rnacentral:rRNA from 1 species
AGAACGAACGCUGGCGGCAUGCCUAACACAUGCAAGUCGAACGAGACCUUCGGGUCUAGUGGCGCACGGGUGCGUAACGCGUGGGAAUCUGCCCUUGGGUUCGGAAUAACAGUUAGAAAUGACUGCUAAUACCGGAUGAUGACGAAAGUCCAAAGAUUUAUCGCCCAGGGAUGAGCCCGCGUAGGAUUAGCUAGUUGGUGAGGUAAAGGCUCACCAAGGCGACGAUCCUUAGCUGGUCUGAGAGGAUGAUCAGCCACACUGGGACUGAGACACGG